GCUUGCCUUCAAGUGGUUUUGCCUGAAGGACUUGAUGAGCUGGAUCAGAAAAAAAUCCCCAUCGGAGCUGGCAGUAUGACUAAAGACCAUAGAAUUCACUCUGCCGGGGAUCCUUUGGUGCAUUGUUAACCCCCAGAGGGGAGCUGUGCCCAAGGAAGCGGUAAAAGGUACAGUGCGCCUGCUGGUGUUCUCCUCUUGUGAUGUGCAACUCAGUUUCUCUUUCUGGAAAUUCUGAUCUGUUAUCAUAUCAAAGGGCCAAUGCAGUGACCAGCUGAAGUCCCAUCCUUUCAGUGUGAGUUCAGUGAUGCUGUUUACACAAUGCAUCUGAACUGUGAGGUACAUACAGAAGACUCGCCUACACCCAGACACCCACACAGACUCUUUGGCUUGCAGGACAGCCUUUCAAACAGCGCUGGCAGAGGCUCGUCUCCCCCUCACUGAGUCCAUCACAGUUCCGUGGGCCUUUCACUGCCCAGCUGCUGUAGGCAUGCUGCGUUCUGAAUUCGGCGAGCGGAGAGAGUUGGACAGAGUCGGCUACGUGCCGGUGGGGGGCAGAGGAAGCAGGCAGAAAGGCCAAACUCCCCUGGUGGAGCUGAGGAUUCUUGGACACGGUGUCGUUCUGUUGUGUUAGUUGUUUUAGUAACUGCAAGACAGCGUCAGAGAAGAUAAGGUCUUCACUGCAUGUGCUAUGGCCCUUUUCUAUCAUGUGACUGCACCUGUCGACUCAUCAAUGAUAUCAUGGGCUGCAUCAGAUCGAAGCCUCAUCACAACUGAGACGUCAGUAUCUUUUUUUUUUCAUUUUCUCCAGCUAUGAUGUUGUCAGAACUUCUCAUUGUGCUUUAUUUGAUCCGUCACAAGCAGCGAAAGGUCGGUUUGUCUGCAUGAAAUCUAUACCCACACUAUUGUGCAGAAAGCUCCACUGGUUGCUGUAGAAUUCAAACACUUUUCAUUCACAAGUUUUCCUAGUUUUAUAAAGUUUUCACCUACCACAAAGAGUGCAGUCAACUCCAUUUAACAAGCUUUACCAUAAAUAAACCUUCAUGUGCUGCUGAAAAUCUGCUUUUUUAACAUUACAGUGAUUUCACCAUUAUACAUUAUUUUUCUCUCCCCACAUGCAGAGAUGAAAUAAAAGAAUAACGCUGAGAAAACUGUGUCAGAAAUUGUCAGGAUUCAGAGUAGGUUUGAUUGAAUUUAUUUAGAAUAAUUUAUCUAAUUUAUGAUUUGAUGCACUGCUGCAAUUUCUCCAACUAAUUCCUUGUCAAAAUAAAGUGGUAUUUUAUUUUUGCCAGUGAAACAUCCCAUUUGUAAUCAGAUUUUCACUUAUGUGGUAAUAUUAACAUUAUCGUUCAAAAGUCUGGGGUUGUUAAGAUUUUUUUUUAAAGAAAUUAACACUUUAUUAAGUUCUGUUUGUUCUUAUAUUCACCAAAUUUGUCAAAUAAGUCUAUAAAAGAUGUAUUACUCUUUCCACAAAAAUAAUAAGCCGAACAACUGUCAACUGUGAUGAUGAUGAUGAUAGUAAUAACAAUAAAUGUUUUUAAACACCAAAUCAGGAUAUUAGAAUAAUUUCUGAAGGAUCAUGUGACACUGAAGACUGGAGUAAUGAUGCUGAAAAUUCAGCUUUGCCAUCACAGGACUAAUUUACAUUUUAAAAUAUAGAAAGCAUUUUUUUUUUAUUGUAAUAAUAUUUCACAAUAUUACUGUUUUUACUGUAUAUUUGAUCAAAUAAAUGCAGCCUUGAUCAGCAUAAGAGA